rnacentral:rRNA from 1 species
UACGUAGGUGGCGAACGUUGUCCGGAUUCACUGGGCGUAAAGCGCGCGCAGGCGGGUUGGUAAGUCUGAUGUGAAAGCUCCCGGCUCAACUGGGAGAAGCCAUUGGAUACUGCUAGCCUUGAGACACUUAGAGGAGAGUGGAAUUCCCGGUGUAGUGGUGGAAUGCGUAGAUAUCGGGAGGAACACCAGUGGCGAAAGCGGCUCUCUGGGAGUGUUCUGACGCUGAGGCGCGAAAGCGUGGGGAGCAAACCGG